UCUAAUAUGGCAGAUUAGUGCAAUGGAUUUAAGCUCCAUAAAUAAAGUUCACACUUUUUUUAGAA
rnacentral:tRNA from 1 species